rnacentral:rRNA from 1 species
UAAGACGAACCGUCCAAACGUUAUUCGGAAUUACUGGGCUUAAAGGGUGCGUAGGCGGCCCUGUAAGUUGGGUGUGAAAUCCCUCGGCUCAACCGAGGAAUUGCGCUCAAUACUGCAGGGCUAGAGGAAGAUAGAGGUGAGCGGAACUUGUGGUGGAGCGGUGAAAUGCGUUGAUAUCACAAGGAACACCUGUGGCGAAAGCGGCUCACUGGGUCUUUUCUGACGCUGAGGCACGAAAGCUGGGGGAGCGAACGGG